GGUCCAGUCAUCGGCCCCCAGCUCGCUCACCAGGUGGUCGUCCAGGAGGGUUGCUCAGGCUUCAGUCGGGUCGGCUGUUAGCCUCGGCAGCCAGGAGACCCCCAAACCCUAACCCUAACCCCCCAACAACAGACAUCUGCCCCCAACAACAGACAUCUGCCCCCAACAACAGACAUCUGCCCCCAACAACAGACAUCUGCCCCGGGAUCCAGUUCUUAUAAUGCACCGGUCGCCCUUGUUCGGUUGGUGAAACACGGUGUGAGUCCGGUCCGGUCAGAAGAGCAGCUUCAAACUAACUUGUUGGUGACUAGACCGGGGGUGUUGCGUUGGUGUUUAAGGUCUGGGAUGAGGCAAACCUCCGUCCUUUAGCCGUUUAAUCACCCCCCCCCCCCCCCCACACCCUGAUGAUACGUCCCCUCCUACACGUCCACAGGCCUAGGGGUGUGCCUAUCUACUGAACCCCUGCCUCGUGUGUGUCUGGAGUGGAUAAUAUCUCAGCGGGACGGGGGCCAGACAGUGGGGGGUUUGGGGGGGUGUAUCCAUCCUAACCAUCUUCUGAACGUUGUCCCAGGACUUCUUCAGGCCCUCAUCACUCGUGUAGCUCUUCAUCGCCUCCUUCAACUCGUCCUGCGCUUUGGUGUCCAGCUGAGGGGAGGGAAAGACAGCAACGUGUCACACGUGGACCGGCACAACAACACACAGAUGUGUUCAUCCCAGCCUGUGGAUCCGGGCCUUACCGUAUUGUGGAAGAUGUGUAUCACCAGCACUAGCGUCACCUCUGUCAGAACCAGG